AUGAACGCUAGCGGCAGGCUUAACACAUGCAAGUCGAGGGGCAGCGGGAUGUAGCAAUACAUUGCCGGCGACCGGCGGAUGGGUGCGUAACGCGUAUGCAACCUACCUUAUACAGGGGAAUAACCUUUCGAAAGGGAGACUAACACCCCAUAGUAUUGAUUUAAGGCAUCUUAGAUUAAUUAAAUAUUUAUAGGUAUAAGAUGGGCAUGCGUAUGAUUAGCUAGUUGGUAAGGUAACGGCUUACCAAGGCGACGAUCAUUAGGGGUUCUGAGAGGAAGGUCCCCCCACACUGGUACUGAGACACGGACCAGACUCCUACGGGAGGCAGCAGUGAGGAAUAUUGGUCAAUGGGCGCAAGCCUGAACCAGCCAUGCCGCGUGCAGGAAAGACGGCCUUAUGGGUUGUAAACUGCUUUUACAUAAGACUAACCGUAUAUUUGCGAAUAUACCUGAAUGUAUUAUGAGAAUAAGGAUCGGCUAACUCCGUGCCAGCAGCCGC
rnacentral:rRNA from 1 species